AUGAACGCUGGCGGCGUGCCUAAUACAUGCCAGUCGAGCGAACGGACGAGAAGCUUGCUUCUCUGAUGUUAGCGGCGGACGGGUGAGUAACACGUGGAUAACCUACCUAUAAGACUGGGAUAACUUCGGGAAACCGGAGCUAAUACCGGAUAAUAUUUUGAACCGCAUGGUUCAAAAGUGAAAGACGGUCUUGCUGUCACUUAUAGAUGGAUCCGCGCUGCAUUAGCUAGUUGGUAAGGUAACGGCUUACCAAGGCAACGAUGCAUAGCCGACCUGAGAGGGUGAUCGGCCACACUGGAACUGAGACACGGUCCAGACUCCUACGGGAGGCAGCAGUAGGGAAUCUUCCGCAAUGGGCGAAAGCCUGACGGAGCAACGCCGCGUGAGUGAUGAAGGUCUUCGGAUCGUAAAACUCUGUUAGUAGGGAAGAACAUAUGUGUAAGUAACUGUGCACAUCUUGACGGUACCUAAUCAGAAAGCCACGGCUAACUACGUG
rnacentral:rRNA from 1 species